GGGUGAUGAGAUAGUUACUGUGUUGAAUUAAGCUGAUAUUUUUUAUAUGCUAUACUGAGCCAGAA